rnacentral:rRNA from 1 species
CGGUGGAAAGUGGGGGACCUUCGGGCCUCACGCUAUUGGAUGAGCCUAAGUCGGAUUAGCUUGUUGGUGGGGUAAUGGCUCACCAAGGCGACGAUCCGUAGCUGGUCUGAGAGGACGAUCAGCCACACUGGGACUGAGACACGGCCCAGACUCCUACGGGAGGCAGCAGUGGGGAAUAUUGGACAAUGGGCGCAAGCCUGAUCCAGCAAUGCCGCGUGUGUGAAGAAGGCCUGCGGGUUGUAAAGCACUUUCAGUAGAGAAGAAAAGCCUGAGGUUAAUACCCUCGAGUCUUGACGUAACCUACAGAAGAAGCACCGGCUAACUCCGUG